rnacentral:rRNA from 1 species
GCAAAUCCGCUGAACUUAAGCAUAUUAUUAAGCGGAAGAAAAGAAAAUAACAAUGAUUCUUUUAGUAACGGCGAGUGAACAAAGAAAAGCUCAACAUGGAAAAUCCGACAGAUAGCUACCCGCGAUUUGUCGGAAUUGUCAAGUUGAAAAACAUUCCAAGAGUUCUUUUUUAUAAUAUGACAAUGAGAAGAAGUAGAUAGAAAUGUCUCUCCUUAGAGGGUGAAAGACCCGUAUUCUUAAUCAUAAAACUGAUCAAUUGGAAUGUUUUGUUUUUGAGUCGUGUUCUUUGAGACUGGAGCACUAAUUAGUGUGAUACAUUUCACAUAAAGCUAAAUAUUUGUAAGAAACCGAUAGUAAACAAGUACCGUGAGGGAAAGAUGAAAUAGUACUCAGGAAUGAGCAAUUAAAUAGUACCUGAAAUCGUUAAGAUGGAACGGAUUAAAAAAGGAAAAAAGUAACAACAUAGUUAAAAUGAGAGAUUUUGGUGCGCGCAAUAAAGAAUGGAGUCCUUAAAAAAGGAUGUAGAUAUUCAAGUAUCAAAACAAAAUUUUUCUUUUUUUAAAAAGAAAUUUUUUGAAGCUUUUGUUAUAAUAUUCAUUUUUAUUCUUAUCCUUUUUUUUUAGGUAAGAUAAAAAUGAUGCAAAAGUUGUCUUUCAUACUAUAUAUAUAUAUAUAUAUAUAUAAAUAUUAUGUUCUUAUUAAAAGAAACAUGAGUGAAUGAAAAUAAAUAAUCGUGGAGCAAAAAUAAACACAAUAACAAGAAAAAAAAAAAAAUAAAUAAAAUAAAAUAAUUAAAAUAAAAAUAAAACAAAAAGAAACAAAAAAAAGCAAAAUAUAAAAUAAAAGAAUUAAUUGAAUUUAAUUUCAUUUUAUUUUUUUCCUUUUAUAUUUUGCUUUUUUAUUUUGUUUUAUUUUUAUUUUAAUUAUUUUUUUAUUUUUUUUUUUUUUUUUUUUCCCUUAUUGACUAUUUUUCUAAGCUAAUGUGGAAAAAUAUAACUUGCUUCUUUUUUUUUUUUCUUUUCUGAAGGGAGAAAAAAAAGAAAAAUAUGAAAGAUACAUUUAUUUAAUUUACUGAGGAUUGUGAAAAUUAUAUUAAUUGUAUAUGAUGCGAAAUAAUAUAAUUUAAGAUGUUUUUAUAAAGUACUUUUUUAACCCACUCGUCUUGAAACACGGACCAAGGAGUCUAACAAAUGUGCAAGUGUAUAUGAUAAGAAUAAACAUAGUAUAAAAAUUUCUACGCAUAAUUAAUGUAACAAAAAUAGAUGUUUAUUAAUUGUAGAUUUUGUGGGGUUUUAAAUUUUUUUUAUAAAUCCACACAAAUGCAUACAAUACCGGUGAGCAAUUAUGCUUUAUUGAGUAAGAGCAUACUUGUUAGGACCCGAGAGGCUUUGAACUAAACGUGAUGAGAUUGAAGUCAGAGUAAAAUCUGAUGGAGGAUCGAGUUGAUACUGACGUGCAAAUCGUUCAUUUCAAUUGCGUUUAGGGGCGAAAGACUAAUCGAAAAGCCUAUUAGCUGGUUAUUUUCGAAAGAUCUCUCAGGAUCGCUGGAGUUGAUUAUAAUAUAGUUUUACCUGGUAGAAAUAAUGAUUAGAGGAUUCAAGGAGAUGAUAAUUCCUUGACCUAUAUAUAUCGAAAGAUUCAAUAGGUAAAAAAAUGAGGAAAUAACUUUAUUGUAUUUUCAUUCAUAUUUAAAAAUAAGAUAACUCCAAGUUGGCCAUUUUUGGUAAGCAGAACUGGCGAUGAGGGAUGCUCCUAACGCUUGGAUAAGGUGCCUAAAUAUCCGCUCAUUAGAUACCAUUAAAAAGGUGUUGGUUUGUGAUUACAGUAGGACGGUAUUCAUAGAAGUUGAAAUCCGCUAGGAAGUGUGUAACAACUUACCUACCUAAUAAACUCGCCCUGAAAAUGGAUGGCGCUAAAGCGGAUUACCGAUACCAAGCCAUAAAAAGAAUAGAAAAAAUUUAUUUUUUAUUUUUAGAUCUUUUUAUGAGUAGAAAAUCGUGGGGUUUUGUGUUGAAGCGAAAUACGUGAGUUUUCGUGGAACAUCUCCCUAGUGCAGAUCUUGGUGGAAGUAACAAAUAUUCUUAUGAGAACUUUGAAGACUGAAGUGGAGAAGGGUUUUUUGUAAACUAUGUUUGAGCAAAAGUUAGCCGUUCCUAAGAGAUAGCUGAAAAGCGUUAUAAAUUGAGGUUACCUAUUAUAUGAAAAGUAUAGUAGUGUUUUUUCUCUUCUCGAAAGGGAAGCAGGUUGAUAUUCCUGCGCCAUAUGUAAUAAGAACUAAUAAAUAGAGAUGGUAACAUAUAUAUAAAUAAAUGAACUCCUUAACAUAGGCCUUACGCUUGGAGUGCGUUAUCUUUGCACUUUAACUUUAUAUCAAACCUUGGAAAUCGAUUUACUUGUAGAAAAGGUUCGAUGAAUUUACAAUAAGCAAUUUAUUUAUUAUAUGCGUGGACCGGUACACAUGAUAUAUAUAUUAAUGAAUUGUUUUGUAGUAAUAGUAAUUCGUUUGUUGUACGAAUUAUCCAAAGUUGUAUGGACUAUCCAUGAAAAAAGGAGGGAACACACUAAAUUAAAUGGGAAUGUAUAAAAUACUAUAAAAGUAUGAAAGAAGAAAAAGUAAAGAAAGGAAAGAAAAAAAAAUAUUAACCUUCAGCUUUUUUUUCUAUUUUUUUUUUCUUUUUUUGCUUUCAUAUAUUUUUAUAGUGUUUUUACAUUAACCAUUUUUUUUUUUAUAUUCUUAAAUUACAAUUAUAAAAAUGAACGUACCAAUAACCGCAUCAGGUCUCCAAGGUUAGUAGCCUCUGGUUAAAUAGAAAAACGUAGGUAAGGGAAGUAAGCAAAUUAGAUCCGUAACUUCGGGAAAAGGAUUGGCUCUGAUAACACAAAAUGAGAAGAAAAAAAUGAAAAGAAAAAAAUGAAAAGAAUUGUGGUUGAAAAUAAAAAUGUUAAGAUGUUUAUUUAUAUAUUUAUAUUAGUUUUUCUUAUAUUUUAAGAUUAAUUAAUUAAUUAUAUAUUUAAUAUGUUAAAAUGUUUUAUAUUUCUUCUUCUACUCUAUUCUAUUCCAUUCUAUUCUAUUCUAUUUUUUUUUUUUCUUUCUCUUCGAUAUUACAUAUAUUUUGUUAUUAUAAUAAAAAUUAUGUAAUAUUGUUUAGCUGUGUUUAUUCAGAACUGAAACGGACAAGGGGAAUCCGACUGUUUAAUAAAAACAUAGCAUUGUGAAAAGCUAUAACUGGUAUUAACACAAUGUGAUUUCUGCCCAGUGCUUUGAAUGUCAAGUUGAUGAAAAUUUCAAUUAAGCGCAGGUAAACGGCGGGAGUAACUAUUAUGACUCUCUUAAGGUAGCCAAAAAUGUAUGGUCCAUAAAAAGGACCAUCAGGAAUGGAUUAACGAGAUUCCUACUGUCCCUACUUGCGAUCUAGCGAAACCACAACCAAGGGAAAGGGCUUGGUAAAAUCAGCAGGGAAAGAAGACCCUGUUGUGCUUUACUCUAGUCUGACUUUGUAAAAAGAUUUAAGAGGUAUAGUAUAAGUGGUAGUAGAAAUUGAAAUAAUGUUUUUACGUCAGUGAAAUACCACUACUUUUAAAAAGUUUUUACUAAUCCAUUUAUCUAGUGAAUGACUAUUAUAUAAAUAUAUAUAUAUAUAUAUAUAUAUAUAUAUAUAUAUAUAUAUUUUCUAUAUUUUAUGUGUAUCACUUUUUAUGGAGACAGAGGCAGGUGGGGAGUUUGACUAAGGUGGUACAUCUGUUAAAAAAUAACGCAGAUGUCCAAAGAUAAGCUCAAGGAGAACAGAAAUCUCUUGUAGACUAAAAGGGGAAAAGCUUGUUUGAUUUCUAUUUUCAGAAAGAAUAGAAAACGUGAAAACGUGGCCUAUCGAUCCUUUAUAUUUGCAAAAUGACGUAAAAUUAUUUACUACUGUGCAUAUAAAGGUAUCUGAAAAGUUACCACAGGGAUAACUUGUUUGUGGCUGCUUAGCGAUAUUAGCAACGUGGCUUUUUGUAUUUUCGAUUACGGCUCUUCCUAUCAUUGGGACGCAGAAGUCUCAAAGUGUCGGAUUGUUCACCCGCUAAUAGGGAACGUGAGCUGGGUUUAGACCGUCGUGAGACAGGUUAGUUUUACCCUACUGAUGAAUAUUAUUAUAUUAUUAUAUAUAUAUAUAUAGUAUUGUGACAGUAAUCCAACUUGGUACGAGAGGAUUAGUUGGUUCAGACAAUUGGUACAGCAAUUGGGUUGAUAAACCAGUGUUGCGAAGCUACGUCUGUUGGAUAAUGACUGAACGAUUCUAAAGUCAGAACCCAUACUGAUUAAACAAUAAUAUAAUUGUAUAUUUUUGUUAUAAGGUUGUGUUUUAUUUUUUUUUAUUGCUAAUGUAAAAGAGAAAUUUAAUAUA